GGACUACAGGGGUUUCUAAUCCCGUUCGCUCCCCUGGCUUUCGCGUCUCAGCGUCAGUAGGCGUCCAGGACCUCGCUUUCGCCACGGGCGUUCCUUCCGAUCUCAACGCAUUUCACCGCUCCACCGGAAGUUCCAGGUCCCCCUACGCCCCUCCAGGAAGGUCGUAUCCGUGCCCGUUCCCCGGUUGAGCCGGGGGAUUUCAGCGCCGGACGUGCCCUCCCGCCUACACGCGCUUUAAGCCCAGUGAUUCCGAAUAACGUUCGCACGGUUCGUCUUACCGCGGCUGCUGGCAC
rnacentral:rRNA from 1 species